ACGUCAUUCUCCGCUAGUUUAGGCCAAUCUGCUAAUAGACAGGGAACCUGCCUCGUCGGGCUCGGGUAGGUUCGGCUAAAGGCUGAAGGGGUUCCCAAGGAAACCAGCUCAUCUGGUUGGUCCCGUGUUCCCCGAAGGACACCAGCCCGAUGGAGAGAGUCUGCAGGAACGGCCGGAUGGCAGGCGUGAACUGUGAAGGGAUGCCUGUGUCACCCAGCCACCCAGGAGACGGAUGAGGAUGGGGCACAAGGACAGGUUACCAGCCACCAGUGCCUUCACUGUGAGUCCAGGAGGACACGGGGCAAGGGACUCACCUGGAAGCCCAGGCAGCGGCCGUAGAAGCAGCCUUUAUGUAGAGUGACAUACUCUUGCAGGAAGUCAGCGGACUCCAGUCUCCUAAGCCCCAGAGGACUUGGUUCACCAGUGCUGCUCUCUACCCCAGAAGCCGGCCCACCCUCUUCCUCUUCCUUCCAGGUAUUCAAGGGUGAACUCUAUCUUUGUUUACUCUCUUUAGACUUGUCCUUCUUGUUCCAGGAAAUCUGAAUGCCUAACGGUUCCCUUUCUCAAGCCCCACGUGCUCAAGCCCCGUCUCCGUUCCUUUUCAGUCUCCUGGUGUUGCCCACAAGCCCUUCCCUUCUCACAGUGAUGGGGAUGUGAUUCCCAGUCCAGCCAUCACUGCCUCCUAGGACUUCCCUCCUUUGGAGCCCCAAGCAUACAUAACCCAGCGUUUCUGCGCCAAGAACUCACUCCUGGUUACUCCAGCCUGCCUGUAGAAUCCCCUACAAACUCCAACUCCCUCGUUGUUUCUCUGUGGGGGUCUCAAACUCAACAUCCCUUCUCUAGAUGGUUGCCUGGCUUUCAGCCUUGGCCCCCUGUCUUAGGUCGAAUUGUCUCACUCCCCUGCCCGCAACAGCAGUUCAAAUAGGCAAUACUGAUCACUAGCCAAGCCCCUGCCAAGGUUUACCUUAAAGAUCCGGAACAGUUCAGAUCUCUAUUGCUGCCAGCAUCCCCUUUUACAGGAGGGCAAGCUGAGGCUCAGUAAGAAGCUGGAGGUGGUACGGAUAAUGGCAGAGCCCAUUUAACCCCGAUUUCUAGGUCCUAUAUAGGCAUCGCUCCUCCUAGGGCUCUCAAAGCUCAGCUUCUGUCCCUCAGAACCCAGCUCCAUGCUUUGCUCAGCUUCCCAGUCAGGGUGUCCUAUGAUCUCCCUCCAGAGUCCGAGUUAUCUAGCACAUCUUGGAGAAGUUGCCCUUGACCCUUUGGUGAGGACAUUACAACCUUCCCAAGUGAUUCUUUCCCUGCGGAGGCCUAGGGCCCUGCCUGGCUCCUGGGUUUGCAACCCUUUGUUUCCGUAGAAGACAGUGUCUCCUCUCCCUUCCAGAUCCUGGGUUCUGGUGGCAGCAGCCAUUUCUGUCUCUCAGCUGGCCCUGCACUCACCCUCCCUGGCCUCUUCGGACUGGAGCUCCACAAGCUGGCACAGCAGGACAGAAACAGAUUUUUAUGGAGGCGCAGAGCUCAUAAAGUGGAAUAUGGCUACUUAGGAAGAACAUGAAAUUACAAAUAAAAAAAAAAAUCAGGUGUCGGGCUUUUGAAAGAGCCUGUUGCAAACGAGAG